GAAGUUAAACUGUGCUGAGUCUUAGACUUUUCCUAUACAUCCAGCCAGCUUCGUACAAGGAUGUACGAAGCAACUAAGCCGCGCCACGGAUGGCGCGUCUGAGUGGUGGCGUCCAUUAUCAAUAUAUAUAUGAAAAGUCUUAGAGUCAGCCGGUUAAAGCUUC
ncrna:unclassified sequences TwoGGAY RNA